rnacentral:rRNA from 1 species
CCUACGGGUGGCAGCAGUGAGGAAUAUUGGUCAAUGGACGAGAGUCUGAACCAGCCAAGUAGCGUGAAGGAUGACUGCCCUAUGGGUUGUAAACUUCUUUUAUAUGGGAAUAAAAUGUUCCACGUGUGGGUUUUUGUAUGUACCAUAUGAAUAAGGAUCGGCUAACUCCGUGCCAGCAGCCGCGGUAAUACGGAGGAUCCGAGCGUUAUCCGGAUUUAUUGGGUUUAAAGGGAGCGUAGGUGGAUUGUUAAGUCAGUUGUGAAAGUUUGGGGCUCAACCGUAACAUUGCAGUUGAAACUGGCAGUCUUGAGUACACGAGAGGUAGGCGGAAUUCGUGGUGUAGCGGUGAAAUGCUUAGAUAUCACGAAGAACUCCGAUUGCGAAGGCAGCUGACUGGAGUGCAACUGACACUGAGGCUCGAAAGUGUGGGUAUCGAACAGGAUUAGAUACCCGAGUAGUC